rnacentral:rRNA from 1 species
CUGCAACUCGACUGCAUGAAGCUGGAAUCGCUAGUAAUCGCGGAUCAGAAUGCCGCGGUGAAUACGUUCCCGGGUUUUGUACACACCGCCCGUCACACCAUGGGAGUCAGUAACGCCCGAAGUCAGUGACCGAACCGAGAGGACGGAGCUGCCGAAGGCGGGACGGAUAACUGGGGUGAAGUCGUAACAAGGUACC